UCCGCCAUAGCUCAGUCGGUUAGAAAGUUGGUCUAGUGAGCCCAUGAUCGCAGGUUCGACCCCUGCUGGCGGCA